ACGUAGGGGGCGAGCGUUGUCCGGAGUUACUGGGCGUAAAGGGCGCGCAGGCGGUCUGGUAAGUUUGGAGUGACAGUGCUCGGCUUAACUGAGCAAGGCCUUCGAAAACUGUCAGACUUGAGCACUCAAGAGGGACAUAGAAUUCCGGGUGGAGUGGUGAAAUGCGUAGAUAUCCGGAGGAAUACCAAAGGCGAAGGCAGUGUCCUGGGGAGUGUCUGACGCUCAGGCGCGAAAGCUAGGGGAGCGAACAGGA
rnacentral:rRNA from 1 species